ACAGGGUCUUGCCAUGUUAUUCAGACUGGUACCAUUCUCCUGAGCUCAAGCAAUCUGCCUGCCUCGGCCUCCCAAAGUGCUGGGAUUACAGGCAUGUCCCCACCUUGCCUGGCAACACUGUUGUUUAUCUACUUGAAAACACUUCAGUUUUGACAUAUAGAUAGGACUGGAUUUUUUUCUCCUCGCUUUAAUUUAGACCUGAGCGAUUUAGAUGUUUACUACAGUCUUAAACUGAACUAUAAAAUGGCGAAUGUACGCAAUUUGCUUGUUCUUUCUCUGACUUUUUUCUUACCAUUUUUAAGAGGUUAAAUUAUAAAAAUAGUAUUCAUCCUCCUGAUUUUUUAUUUACUGAUUUCCUGAUCAAUAACUGUCCCCUUGUUUUUCACAAUAAUCUUCAGAUUCUGGAAAACCAAGCUGCCAACAACUAGGGGUGCAAGAGCGUAAGUGACGUAAAGAAACAGGUAAAGAAUAAAGUCAACUAAACUAUGGCAUCUCUCAUUCAAGAGCCUCAUGUGAUGGGAAGUAUGUGCUUCUUUCCAAGCCUCUGUUGCUUCUGAAGCCCCAUGAGACGAUCUCGUUUGAUUCAUAAUCUUUAAUCCAGUCUUUAAGCUCUGACAGAACAGGACCAGGUACCAUUUCAUGUUCCUAAAGGGUAGAAGCAAGACCAUAAAGGCCUGGGUUCCACAGAGAAUAUGAUAAUUGCAUGGGGAGGGAUGAAAGUGAUGGCAUGCUUCUCAACUUUCAAAGAAGGCAUCUUCUAAGUUGAUUUCCCUCAAGGUCUUAAGAAGGGCUGGAGGAAAGUAUUAAUUGUUUUGCAAUAACAGGAUUUCAUGACCAAGCAUGUUGAUGAAAUUUAGCACCCAUAUCUGGUUAAAGACUCUUUUUAAAACUUACAGUCAAAUGUUAAUGGUGAAAACUAGAUAACCAUUAAAUUAAGGAACAAAGGUCAUUAUGAUGAAUCUUUCAAGUUAUUUUAUCCUUACUCAAAGCAUUAAAAAGAAAUGUGAGUAAAUAAAAUGACUGGAAGAGAGGAAAAAAACCACUGUAAUAAAAAAAGAGAUGACAGAAUUGCCCUUUUAGUCAAGGUAGAUUUACCUGGAGUUAACAAAGAUUAAGAUUUAAGGUCACACUUUUGCAUAGGCCUCUGUAUAAUAUUUGCAAAACUAGUGUAUUUGUACUGAAGUUGAUGAAGACCACGCUUUUCACCAUGUGUUCCUCCUUUAUAUUUCCUUUGUGUUUACUGGCAUUGAAGUGACCACAAGCAUUUGGAGGAUCUGGGUAAGUACAAAUCAAGUUAGGGCAUCUGCAUUGGGACAGAUUACGUAGUGCUUGUUCCUUCUGGGCACCCCCAAGUAGGAAUGGCUUUUGCAAUAUGCUUUCUUCUCACUGUGCCCUUAGACUUGACCUUGAACACAGUGCAGGAACAGGUGUCAAAUUGUUAUAGAAGUGUGGCCCAUGCUGCUCAGCAUCAGAAACUUGUAAGCAGAGUGGGAACUAAUUUGCCGUGAACAGAGUCAGAAGCUAGUCUGUAGGAAAUUAUCCCCCAAACGAUGCAGAUCAUGUGAAUGAAAUGUGGCCUUUUCCAAAUUUGAUCACCAUCCUAAUAAUUUACAUGGCAUCCUCAACAGCAAGUUAUGAAAAAAAGGAAUUUUCCAACUAUCAAUAAUGAUAAACAACUUUUGAUCAACUGUGCUAGAGUGUUGGUGUGUGAAUAGGACAAGCAGUAGUGUGGUCCAGCCAAGGACUGGGGAGCUUUGGAGGUGGAACUGCACCUUGGGGCCUCCCGGGGAAUGCCUGUCAAUCUCUCAAGUCCUUAGAUAUCACUGUACUUCCCUGGAUGGACACAUUCAAGAUCAGUGUCACCUGCCAAUUCUUGAAGGAGCAUUCCAAAAUUUGGCAUCGAACCAACUCCCUUUCCUCUUGAAUGUCCCACAAUGCCCUGUGAUAAGGAGGGGAGAGCUUUCUUCCUUCCUCUCCCUGUUUGGAAGGACCCCCAUCAGUGUGGAGUGACUCUGUUUCCAGACUUGCUCUUCAACAUGUUAAAGGAAGGGCUUUGCCAUGUGAGCAUUCUUCUUUCCUCUGCUUCUAAGAAUUGUCUUGUUCUUAACAAGAAAACUUGAUUUGACACUUAAAAUAUAAUUUCCAUUCAGGUACAUGUUCAUUAUUUGCUCAGCAGAAAAUAAACUCCAAGAAGUGAGAACAUUUCCCUUUUCUUUGCUGUCUCCACAGUGCCCAGACAAUGCUAGGCAUAUAACCAUUGCUCAGUAAAUACUUCUUUGAUGGAAACAAUGGCUUCUGUCAUGGAGAACUUGCCCAUCAACAGGUAUUCCAGUUUCCACCCAAUCCAGAAGUCCUCCCUGGAGCAUUCUGAAAGAUGCUCACCCAGUUUAUUCUGGAACACCCCCAACCCCCGUAAUGGGGAAAAUUCACCACCUCCAGAGAUGACGUCUUGCUCUAGCUAUGGAUAAAUUUGACUAUUACAAAGUGUUUCCUUCUAUCAACAUUAAAAUCUCACUACAACUUAGUAUGCACAACCCUCUCUUCUCCCUCCACCAUGACAAACAUAAACUUUAUGUUUUCUCUACAAGAGACAGCACGAAAUACCUGAGUACAGAGCCUUUACCACCCUCUCUCCUUUGCCCAGCCAAAUUCUUCUUUAGUGGAUGAAACGUCACUGGUUUCUUCACCAUUCUCCAUGUCAUUACAUCUUCAUAUCUUUUGGUACUCUCAUGCUUGCCUACAGACAUUCUCUUUUCUAUCAAAACCUCUCGUAAAAUGGUACAACUUGAGCAGAGCAUUUUAGGGCUGUCACUUUUUUGUCUGCACAGUGUGCUUUUAUCAAUGAAAUUUAAGACUGUGAACCCUCAUUUUACUGCUGAGCUUGCUGCCCAGGAAGGGACUUGAGUCUUUUUUUGUUUUGUUUUCUUUGACGGAGUCUCUGUCGCCAGUCUGGAGUAUGCAGUGGCGUAAUCUCGACUUACUGCAACCUUUGCCUCCUGGGUUCAAGUGAUUCUCCUGCCUCAGCCUCCAGAGUUGCUGAGACUACAGCCGCCCCUCUGUGAGCGUCGCAGGGACGGUGGGAAACACAGCAAGCCCAAAGAAAAGCCUUUGAAUUCCCUCACAGGCUUUGAGUCCUCAAAGCCUGAAUCCACCAAGCUGAUUGUUCCAGAAGCGCAAGAGGGAAAUGCCUGGGAUCCCCUCAGAGAGACAGGAAGAAGGAAGGAGGAGCGUGGUCAGGAAGAGGCCCUAUGGGCUGGGAAGAGGGACGGUCUUCCUCAGAUGGACGGUCUUCCUCAGAUGGGUUCUCCGUCAGCAGACCACCCAGCCGCGGCUGUUUCCCUGCAAGCAUCGUCUGUGAUUCCAAUCUCACCUUGAAUUGUAUUAAUCUCCACGUGUCAUGGGAGGGACCCAGUAGGAGGCAAUUGAAUCAUAGGGGUAUGUCUUUAUUAGCAGCAUGAGAAUGGACUAAUACAUCCUGGAACAUCGUGGAAUGUUCCGUCACCAAUCUUAGAGCGAGAGUAGGAGAAACUACAGAAAGUCCACAGAGGAGUGUUGACUUUGAUCACAGGCAUGGAAAAGAGAGUCCCUAAAAGAAGAUAAGAAGUACAAGAGAAUGUUAAGGCAUGGUCUAACUGUAACCAUUCAAGACUGGACUGGGACGGGGCUGGGGGAUUUGCCGUGGCCACUGGGCAGUUGUUACUGACAAUGGAUUCAAAUACACAAAAGCUGCUGAAACUAAAGUUAGAAAACAAAGUCAUGCCAGUGUUGAUGAAACCCCACAAAGAUCCUCAAAACUCAACCCCCCACCACCUUACAAUGUGCCAACUGACGCUCUGAGAGUCAGGAGCUGUUCAAGGAGAGGCGCCUUCUACCAGAAAUAAGCCAGACCCAGCGGCUAUCUCUACACUCCUAUCCUUCCUGCCAAGGUUGUGUGGCCAUCUGCUUAGAAGAUGCCGAGAUUAUUUCCAAGGGACAGAUGGGAGACAAGAGCAUGAUCUGUCUUGAAGCUUUGGACGUUGCUGUGCCUGCUGGUUUUGUGAUCCCUUGCAGAUUCUUGCUGCUACAACAUUUCCUUUGGCAGCUUGGAAAAGAAGCAGAAUGGAGAAGAAAGCCAAGGCUAGGUGGAGGUGAGGGCGGAAUAGAGACACUGGAAUGAGCUUCCCUGCCCCAGGGCAUGCUUGCAGGUGGAGCUUUAGGAGAUAUGUCUCUGGCAUCGCUCUGUGGGCAGUACCUCCCACUGCCUGCCUCUGGCCCGCAGAGCAUGCCGAGAUUGUCAGUGUGGAUAAUGGAUUCUGAGCCUCUCUUUAUAGACAUGCUUCAUUCACAUUAUGGAUAAGGAUCUGGGGAAAUGUCCUUUGCUAAUCUAGUCAGUAGCCUCCAGAGAGACCCUGGAAGGAAGUGCUCUGGCCAAAGCCGACUGUGGGCUUUGUGCAUCCCUGACCUGUUUCCGUGUCAGCCACAAGGCAGAACAACAGCAAAAGAGGUCAGGAAGACUUUCAGCCUGAUUUAUUCAAAAGUAGAGGGUUUUUUAGUGUUUCAAGGAGAUUCUGCAUAGACAACCAGGAACAGCUAAGUAAAUUCCUGCAAGCCACAGCAGAGGUCAGAAACAACUCUUGUUGGGUGACAGAGUUUUACUUCUCUUCAACUUCCAAGCUAGCAACCAGCUGGUAGAAACCCCUGUCAACUGGUCUAAGGACAGAUGACUGUGAUAUAUAGGAAGGUGCCACCUGUGCAGCAGUGGGGAGCUGAAGAAGACACUGAAAUAGUUAUUGUAGCUAUUUCCCAAGGCUGAGAGCUGGAGGAAAUGCCAACACUGAGAGAUGGACAGUCCGUGGGGAAGUCUACACAGACUGGAGAAACACUUGCGUCUUCUGCCCUGAAACUAGGCACUCUAUUCAAUGCCUCCAGCUAAUCACCUUCACAUGAUUUAAAAGCAAAAAGACUUGUUUCUUUUAUUUAUCUAUUUACCCUAAUGAAUGAUCACUUUCUAACUCUCGUGUAUUCUCAAAUUAAUGUAUUUGCUCCUCCUGACAGUGGUUUUCCGAGUUUAAUUAUUUUCAUAGACAAAAAUCUCUCCAAUACAAAUAGAAACUUAACUGUAUAGUUCUGUCAAGUCACUCCACAGUGGUGACGUCUCGUGGAUUGUUGGAGAACCCACAUGCAGUUUUUGGCAUUUGACGUUUAAACAGAGACAAAAGAACAACAAAUCCAUGGUGGACUAACUAUAGGAGCUGCUUUCAUUUUUUCUUUUCUUUUAUUUAUUUACUUUUUAUUGACGCAGAAGAUGAAAAGCCAUGUCCCACAAACUUUACUUAUCCAUUCUUCUUUUUUUUCUAAAUGAGUGUUCCUUUGUCUUAAUUUCUAAUAAAAAUUUAGUGUUUCUGGUAGAGUUUCUUGGAAUUUUAGGGUGGAAAGCCGGUGAGGACAGUUAAAGGAUUACUAACAAACACUGUGAAAAUUGAUAGAAUUUUUUCACAGCAAUCAAUACGAAAUGUCGUAAUAGAUACAUAGGUAUACAGCAUAAACAGAUAAUUCAAAAGUAAGGAAAUGCAGCUCGUCAGCGAAUAUGUAGGAAACUGUUAAAAGGUGCUGUAUGAGGGUUCUCCAGAGAAACAGACCAACAGGAUGUGCUUAUCCAGAGGAAAAGAUCUACUAUAAGGAACUGGUUCCCAUGAUUAUGGAGGCUGCAUACCAAGCUCUGCAGUCUGCGGUCUGGAGACCUGGGAGAGUCCAUGGGUGAGUUGCAGUCACAAAUGAAAGGCUCAAGACUUGGAAAGAGCUGAUGUUUUAGUUCAAGCCUGAAGGCAAGAAAAAAACAGUGUCCCAAUUCACAAGCAGACAGGCAGGAAAAACUUCCACUUGCUCAGAGGAGGUCAGUCUUUUGUUCCAUUCAGACCUUCAACUGAUUGGAUGAGGCUCACCCACAUUAGGGAACGCAAUUUGCUUUAUUCAGUCCAUCAACUUAAAUGUCAACCUCAUACAAGCACCUUCAUAAAAACACCCAGAAUAUUUGGCCAAAUAUCUGGGCACCCUGUGGUCCAGUCAAGUUGACAUCAAAUUCUAUAUCACACACACCAUUCCCAUCAAUAAACCUCUUGUUCUAACAAAACCCUUCUCUGCCACACAAAGAUCUUGUUUCUCUGUCCUUUUUUACAUCCGUUUUCUUCUGCCCUUCUAAGUCUUACUUAUCUUUCAAAGCUAACUCUUUAAAUUGCCUUUUAACUUUCUUUACUAGCAUAGCACUUCAUGCUUACAUUCAUGUAGCACUAACUACCUAUCCCAGUUCUGGCAUUUAGCCAUUCUUGUUGCUCAAAACACUCGCAUGGAAAAGUAAUGAUAUCUUUUUUAAUGUGUAAUUUUUUCAGUUAGAAAAAUGGGUGCCCAGGUCUAUUGCUGGUAUGAAUAUAAAUAAGUGCAAGCCUUUUAAGAAAGAAAAUUGGCAAAAAUCUUAAAUAUUCAUACCCGCUAAUUCAGUUUCCUUACUUUGGAAAAUCUUCCUAAGAUAAUAAUCCCAAAAUAUGGGAUAAAUUGGAUGCAUACAAAACCUUUCAUCAAGCUGUAUUUAUAAUAAUAAUAAAAUUAUAAGAAAUGACCUAAAUUUAAAAAUAUAGAAAUGAUUAGUUAUAACAUGUUACCACUAGGCAACAAAAUAUCAAGUACUCUUCAAAAUGUUUGUAAAAGUUUCUAAUAAUGUAAAACGUGCUUAUGUUAGAUGACAAAUAACAUGGUAGUAUAAUUACCUUAUAAGAUAUGCAAAAAAGACUAAAGAAUUUCUAAAAUAUUAGCAAGUAGUGACUUGGUGAUAGUAAAGCUGCAUGUGCCACCUAUUUUUGUC